GGAAUACAAACGAUCCCCCGACUCGAUGUUACAAUUACCAGAGCACUAAUAUACAUCACAACCAAACUAACUUAACAAAACUAUACAAAGGUAGCCUACACUAGCUCCUCACCAAAAGUGCUCCACACCAAAACGAUCUACAGCUACAGCUCGAUCGAAACCUCGACCUGAAUACCUGAACCCCCAAAGGUCCAGCACAUAACAAAUAGGUAGAGAGUUAGUAAACAUAAUCACAUACAUACGAAUAUAGAAACGCACCUAUAUUCGACCUAUCACGUAUUACUAACUCACACACAUGCUUCCAUCAGCAAUACACCAAAUAACACAUACUCACAAAUACACAACCAGAUAGUUUCAC
rnacentral:lncRNA from 1 species